rnacentral:tRNA from 1 species
GGGGGUGUAGCUCAGAGGUAGAGUACUUGCCUAGCACACACAAGGUCCUGGGUUCAAUCCCAGUUUUACCA